AUGAUCACAGGGCAGGAGGACAAACUGAAGAUCGCAUGGGAUUUCUUCAACACCCUGAUUGGAACUCCUAAAGAGCGGGCCGCAGCCAUCAAUAUUCAAGCACUCAGGUACACACCUAUGCUGCAGCACCUGGCCGACCUUGACGCCCUUAUUACCAAAGAGGAGGUGUUUGCAACCAUUAAUGAUAUGGCCAUGGAAAAGGCACCUGGACCUGAUGGAUACACCAUGUUGUUCUUCAGAGCAUGUUGGUCUAUCAUCAAAGGGGAUGUGAUGGCCGCCAUCAACAAGCUGCAGAACCUCAACUUCAACAAUUUCCAACAUCUAAACUCAGCUUGCAUUAUCCUACUGCCAAAAAUUGAAGGUGCCAAGAAGAUGGCUGACUUCAGACCAAUUAGUUUGGUACACGCCAUUGCAAAAAAUUUCACCAAAUUGCUUGCACGACGGCUGCAACCCAAGAUGGAUAAGUUGGUCGCCCCAUGCCAAACUGCCUUCAUCAAGCAGAGAUCAAUUCUCGACAAUUUUGUGUUUGUUCGUGGUCAAAUAAAGUGCCUGAAAAUGUCUAGAACACCAUCAGUACUAGUCAAAGUGGAUAUUGCAAAGGCCUUUGACAGUAUUUCUUGGGAAUUCUUGCUGCAACUUCUACAACAACGAGGGUUCAGUAGCCGGUGGACUGGUUGGAUUGCAGGGCUGUUGAGGACAUCCUCUACCAGAGUAUUGAUCAAUGGAGAGCUAACCGAGGUCAUACAGAAUGCGAAAGGGUUGCGCCAAGGAGACUCAUUAUCACCACUCCUGUUUGUCAUUGCUAUGGACACCUUGGCAUCAAUGGUGAACUAUGCAACGUAG
rnacentral:rRNA from 1 species